GACGAACGCUGGCGGCGUGCUUAACACAUGCAAGUCGAACGGAAAGGCCCUGCUUUUGUGGGGUGCUCGAGUGGCGAACGGGGGAGUAACACGUGAGUAACCUGCCCUUGACUUUGGGAUAACUUCAGGAAACUGGGGCUAAUACCGGAUAGGAGCUCCUGCUGCACGGGGGGGGUUGGAAAGUUUCGGCGGUUGGGGAUGGACUCGAGGGUUAUCAGCUUGUUGGUGGGGUAGUGGCUUACCAAGGCUUUGACGGGUAGCCGGCCUGGGAGGGUGACCGGCCACAUUGGGACUGAGGUACGGCCCAGACUCCUACGGGAGGCAGCAGUGGGGAAUAUUGCACAAUGGGCGGGAGCCUGAUGCAGCAACGCCGCGUGCGGGAUGACGGCCUUCGGGUUGUAAACCGCUUUCGCCUGUGACGAAGCGUGAGUGACGGUAAUGGGUAAAGAAGCACCGGCUAACUACGUG
rnacentral:rRNA from 1 species